UAAACACCAUUAAGCUAUAUGUAUUGGAUGUUGCUCCUUCACCCAUUUCUUCAAUCCGGAUUUCUUUGCCAAUCUUCAUCCAAGGUUGAAAUAUGACGUUCCAGUUCUUCUCUUAUCAGAUUUCCCCUCAUAUCCCAACCUACUAAUCCAGUCGCUGAUUUGGAGGUUCUACUGUCCAGUGAUGUAUCAAAUUUGAUCGAUAUUCUCGGUACGUUUUCCUGUAUUUUGUGACUCUUGAAAAUUUUCUCAGUUUUCUUCACAGCAUUUAUUCCUUCAUAUUCUGCCAUAUGUCUUUGAAUAUUCUGAGCUAAUCCCCUUCUUGUUGAAUUUUUCCCCUCGUGAAUGAGUUUGUUUCUAAAGGACCAUUUCAACCAUAACGCAUAGCAGAAAAGCCGACACUGGUAAUAGUUGCUGUUCUUGAAAACCCAGGUUAGCCACUCCUAUGUAUUCUGACUCGUAUUCUUCAUGACCCAUGAUAAAUUUAAUGAUUGCCACACUUCUCUUGUGAAAGGACACUCUCGGAAAACAUGAAGACUCUCUUCUACUCCAGAAUAACACCGUGGACAGCAGGCAGUUGAAAUGACCCUCCUCAAACUGAGAUUACCAAGAUGAGGGAUAUAAUCCCAUGAAAUCCUCCAAAUUGUAAUUGCAAUUUUUGAAGGCAAUUGUUGGCUCCAUAAUUUUUUGUAAAAUUUUUUUAUUUCGGUCUGUAGUAAGUAGUCAUUGGCUAUAGAGGCAUAUUGUAAUAAAUUAUAGGCACUACGUACUAAAAACUCACCAGAUAGUUCUCCACUCCACACCUGAAUAUCCUUAUGUUCAGUCUCUGCCAGGGGAAUUUGUAGAAUCUUCCGAGCAGUAUCUUCUUGAAAGUUGUCUUCCCAGAUAGAAAUGCUAUUACCUUUACCAACUCUCCAACCCAAUCCUCUUUGGAGAAGUCCUCUUGCUGCCCAGAUGCUCUUCCAGGUAAAUGAAGGUAAAUUCCCCAACUCUGCAUUUAAGAAACUUGACUUUGGGAAAUAUUUAGCUUUCAAAACUCUGUCUAAUAAAGAAUUUGGAAAAUUAAUGAGACGCCAACCUUGUUUAGCUAAUAACGCAAUAUUAAAUUGACUAAGAUCUCGAAAACCUAAGCCACCAUUUUCUUUUAGCAAACAAAGGUUUUUCCAAGUGCACCAAUGAAUUCCCCUUUCGCCCCCUCCUUUCUGCCACCAGAAUCUUGCUAUAAUACUCUCCAUUUCAUCGUAAAGAGCUCUCGGCAAUAAGAAGCAUGCCAUAGAAUAAGUCGGAAUAGCUUGCAGAAUGGCCUUAACAAAAAUUUCUUUCCCUCUUCGUGAUAAAAACCUGUUACUCCAGUUAUCAAUACGUUUUUUUAUUCGAUCCUUUAAACUCUGAAAAGCUUCUUUUUUCUUUCGCCCCACCGUAUUGGUAGCCCUAAAUAUCUUUCAGGUUCACUUGUCCUACAUACCCCCAACACAUUUACCACCUGUCUCCUAU